AUUGAACGCUGGCGGCAGGCCUAACACAUGCAAGUCGAGCGGAUGAAAGGAGCUUGCUCCUGGAUUCAGCGGCGGACGGGUGAGUAAUGCCUAGGAAUCUGCCUGGUAGUGGGGGAUAACGUCCGUAAACGGGCGCUAAUACCGCAUACGUCCUGAGGUAGAAAGUGGGGGAUCUUCGGACCUCACGCUAUCAGCUGAGCCUAGGUCGGAUUAGCUAGUUGGUGGGGUAAAGGCCUACCAAGGCGACGAUCCGUAACUGGUCUGAGAGGAUGAUCAGUCACACUGGAACUGAGACACGGUCCAGACUCCUACGGGAGGCAGCAGUGGGGAAUAUUGGACAAUGGGCGAAAGCCUGAUCCAGCCAUGCCGCGUGUGUGAAGAAGGUCUUCGGAUUGUAAAGCACUUUAAGUUGGGAGGAAGGGCAGUAAGUUAAUACCUUGCUGUUUUGACGUUACCAACAGAAUAAGCACCGGCUAACUUCGUG
rnacentral:rRNA from 1 species